rnacentral:tRNA from 1 species
UCUUAGAUGACUGAGAAAUAAGUGCUAGACUUUUAAUCUAGAAACAGCAGAUACUACUGCUUCUAAGAG